CCUCAUCGCGGCGUCCUGCACCCGAGGCCCCCCGUUAGGGUCCGCCUCCACCCCCAGGAUCCACGGCACCGUCCGCUUCAGGUCCUUGCAGGAGCUCGUCACCUGGAGCAGCGCCGUCGAGCGGAGGCAGAGCGCCUCCGAGCCGGAGGUGGCCUUGAUGCCCAGCUGGCUCUUCAGCCGGAGGAAGUCGUCCGGGUCCAUCAGAAGGUGGAGGUCCUCCACCUCCGACAGCAGCUUCCACACGCGUUCGAGCAGCCAGCAAUCGCUCCCGGCCUGCACCCAGUCUUUGGCGUCCAUCCUCUGCUCGAUCCGAGCCAAGAGCUCGCGGGCGGCGAAGAGCCACGACUCGAGGAUCUGUUGGAUCGUGCAGAGCGCCUGGUCUUCGUGGUCCUUGGCGUCCUUCGAUCCGCCGGGGCUCCUCUUCAGGGCGUGGAGGUCGGACGGGCGGACGACGAGAUCGUACUCGAUCGUGGGCUUCCCUGCGAGGUUGGGCUCGCCCAACCCCAGAGUGAACCGGCACCGCUGCAUCUGGCUCUCGAUCUGGAACAGGAUCUUGGAGGCCACGUCCUCCGACUUCUCCCACGUCGCCAGCCGCGGCAGCAGGCUCUUCUCGCUCGUGCGGCUCACCACGCUGGUCGUGCCGGGAACCUUCCACACCUCCUGCGAGCUCUUGUCCCGUGACAGAAGGCCCUUGCACGAGCUGAGGUCGGCGAUGGGGGCGCCGCCAUCCUCCUCGCACAAGGUAGCGAUGAGCUCGACCUGGCGUGCGGCGAGGGACUCCAGCCUCCGCUUCCAUUCCCGGUGGUUCGCGUAGGGCCGGGGGUCGGACAGGGCGAGCGAGAUGAACCGGAAGGUGAUCUCCAGGCCCUGCAGGGCCGGCUUGAGUAUGGACUCGUCGGCCCACUGGGGGAAGUCCUUGGAGCUCCAAAGCUUGGCCAGCUCGGGGAGGCGGAGGUAGUGCUCAUAAGCGACGAUGGCGGAGGCGUCAUGUCCCCGAGGAGCAGCAGCCGACUUCGAGGGGAACGGCUUUGGAUUGGAAGGCGCGGGCGACGACCUCGCCGAUAUCUCAGACGCUGCCAUCCAAUUCUCAGGUAUCAACGAAAGAGGAGGAGGAAAACUCGAUCGAUCAAAAGCUGCGUUAGAAACGUGGAAAAGGCUUAUGCUAUUCUUGAAAGCAUAAAUGGUGGGGAGGAGAUAUAUAUACACACACAACACGGAUAUAAAAUGGCGGAUAAGGGAUGACGAUCGGAACAAGGAAGCCGGCAGGACGCGGAAGAGGCAAUAAUUCUUAUACUCCAAGGCGUGUCGGUGAAG
rnacentral:lncRNA from 1 species